UUUUUUUUUUUUUUUUCAAAAUAAGUGUGUUGUUUUUUAUUAUUUUAUUUCUUUGAAGCUUACAAGUUGCUUAUUAUGCCAUCUUUCUUUUUACUGAAAUACGUAUUUAUUAUUGGUUUAUUUGAACCAACAAAUCGUUUGGUUGUGUUCUUUUUACUAUUGCCAUAAAAAUGGAUUUAUUUUGCUGUAAUUUCAGGAAGAUUUAAUUGUGGGUAAGUUUCUUGAACAAUCUUCUUCCUAUUCAUGCUUAUGAUGGCUGAUUGUACUUAAUUUUUUACUGAAUGUAUUCGUUAUGCAAGCACGAUCGGGGAGAUGAUGAACGACUCCUGCUUCCUGUUGCAAUGAGAUUUUUGGUUGUCGCCAUAGUCACAACUCACAAUGAGUCUUCGGUAUUAAUCUUAUCUAAAUCUUUUCUCUACUUUUUGUUAAUUUUUAUAUUUUCAUCUUAUUAAUAUGUUAUAGUUUUUUUAACAAGUAUAUAGGUUUUGACCUAAUUAUAUCCAAUUGAAAUUAGUAUAGUUUAUUAGAUCUACAUUUUUUAUGGUAUGGGCCUAACCAGCCAAGCUGGUAGGAUUAACAAACCUUGCAGAUGAAAGUAAGAGUGCCUAAUUUUAGUAUAUAAUAUUUCUUAAUUAUUUUAUAUUGAUGUAACUAUCAAACUAAAUUAUAUUGUCUGUUCGUGUUAGGCCAGAGAAAGAUCGAUUAAGUGUACCGAUUCUGAUCAUCAGUAGAUUACAACAGUUACGAUCAUGUUUGUUUGAGCAACCCAUCAUCAAAAUCAAGUUAGCUCCCUCAUCAAUCAUUACAGUUGAGUGAGUUGACUAGAAACGUCCAGUCUACAUCAGCAACACCCCUUAGCAGCAGAUCAGCAGCCCGCAUAAGAUCAGCAGGUUUAUAGUAGUGGCCAGCAGUACAAUUUGAUGUUUUGUUCGACUCAACCGUCUUUUGCAGGUUUGAUGCACACAGAGCACUACUGAUUGUCAACAGUUUCCAACUGCGGGUUUGUCUUCUCUGUAUGUCCAGCUGGUGGAGUACAAUCCAGAUAAACUGCAUGAGUUUGUUCUUUGGACCAAGUGAGGUAAAUCCACAUACCCCAUCAGGUCAAGGUAUGUGAUUUUAAAAGUGCUAAAGUUUGGUUUGUAGGUAAUUAUUCAUAACCAUUUAAUUUUGUGUCAUAAAUGUCAUAACUUAUGAUUUCAGCAACUUCUAUUGUUUUUUAUUUAUUUCCCCUUCCCUCAAAGAGAGAAAGAGAGAGAGAGAGAGAGAGAGAGAGAGAGAGAGAUGGUGUUUAUACCGAUCAUGGGCUGAGGUAGAAAGAAAGAGAAGAGGGGGCUUAGGUAUAGAGAAAAAAGAGGGGGUGUUGAUCUAGAUAUACUGAGAUAUAAAUAACCUUUCAUUAUAUAAGAACAAUACAUAAUUAGGCUUCUUUAAAAGUAGCAUAUAUUCUACUAAUAAUUGAGAGAAGAAAGAAUACCUGAUUGACAAUGCUGCAGGAGCUGGUAUCGCAUUUGCUGCAGUAGCUGGUGUGAUGGACAUGCUGCAGGAGCUGGUAUCGCAUUAACAAUCGAAGCUUUUCAAACCGUUACCUAUCUUAAGGUUGAUAAGGUACAAGUAACCAGGGAAGCAAAAGUUAUUGGCGAUGGUGAUGACAACGAUGGAUGGGCACCAAAAUUGGAGCAUGACAUGUGUUCGAUGCAACAAGAGAGAUGCUUUCGAUAUGGGCUAUAUGGUACAUAACGCUUGGACCGAUUGCAGGUGAGACGAUGUUAGAGAUGACAUGAUUGAAGGAAGAGGCUAAAACGCCGGUUGAG